AAUCACUUGUCUUUUAAAUGAAGACCUGUAUNAAUGGCUCGACGAGGGCUUAACUGUCUCCUCUUUCCGGUCAAUGAAAUUGAUCUCUCCGUGCAGAAGCGGAGAUACUACCAUAAGACGAGAAGACCCUAUGGAGCUUUAGACACUAAAGAAGACCAUGUCAGCCACCCCUUGACACAGGAUUAAACUAGUGGACACCUUCCCUAAUGUCUUUGGUUGGGGCGACCGCGGAGAACUAAAGAACCCCCGCGUGGAAUGGGCACACCCGUUCCUUCAAGUAAGAGCGACAGCUCUAACUAGCAGUACUUCUGGCCAUCAAAGAUCCGGCAAAGCCGAUUAACGAACCUAGUUACCCUAGGGAUAACAGCGCAAUCCCCUUCUAGAGUCC
rnacentral:rRNA from 1 species